UACGGAGGUCUCAAGCGUUGUUCGGAUUCAUUGGGCGUAAAGGGUGCGUAGGUGGCGCUGUAAGUCGGGUGUGAAAUUUCGGAGCUUAACUCCGAAACUGCAUUCGAUACUGCGGUGCUUGAGGACUGGAGAGGAGACUGGAAUUCAUGGUGUAGCAGUGAAAUGCGUAGAGAUCAUGAGGAAGACCAGUGGCGAAGGCGGGUCUCUGGACAGUUCCUGACACUGAGGCACGAAGGCCAGGGGAGCAAACGGG
rnacentral:rRNA from 1 species